UCCCAUGACAGCCAGUGAGCCCAGGUACUAUGGCAAAGGUUCUUUUGUUAAAGGCACUUCUACACACUCCAAACACCGAGGAGGAAGUUCAUAAACUCCCACAGAAGUCUGUUUGUUAUCCAGGAGGAAGGAAAAUAACAGAUGUGACUUAAAAAAUGAACCAGACCCUUUAUGAUGUUGAGUGCAGCACAGAGAGAGAAGGGCAGAUAAGAAGGGGAGAGAUGGAAUCACAACCUUUGUUAAAGGAGUCUUUGUGUCAGUGUACAGUAUAGUUUCAUUUGUAUCCCUGGCCCUCCCGGGAAGAGAGCAGAUAUAAUUCAGUUGGCGGACAGUUUAGUUCACUCUAAACAGUGUUCACUGCAUGUCCACCUGUGGAUUGGAAAGCAAGGACUGUUUCAUGUGACGGGAGAGAUCCUUGCCAAUGUGGAAUAUGUUGGGGGUUAACUAGCGCUUCUGUGAGAGGAAUUGUAUUGUGCUGCCGGGAGUUGCGUUCGUGCGCCCCGGGAAGAUUACAAAGAGGCGCUUUGUGAGGGGAUGCAGCUGCUGAAAUCCCACCAGAUCCAGCUGAAGAGAGAAGGGAGCAGACCCCCCCGGGGAGGAGUUUGAAGUGGUGUUCCCUGGACUCGGUUGAGUUUCCAGCCUGGUGUUGUUGUGUCUGGAGGCCGGAGCUUGGCAGGGCUGGAUGUGAGGCUGAAAUCGGAAUCGAAUGCUGAGCACUGCACACCCCAGGAGGACGUGGUUACUUUGCUCCUUUCAGAGACGGCGGCAAUGGGGGGGGAGGGGGGGGGGGGGGGGUUGAGGUGGUUGAGGUUUCUCUGUGUCUGGGACCAGGCUCCCUGCUUAGGGACAAGGGGAUUCAACCCCCUUCCUCCCUAUCCCUUCCUCCAGGCUGUCAGGAAGUCUACCAUUCUUCUCAUUGGUGGAGGUUUUCAGACAUCAGACUAUUUCAUCCGAAACGUUGGUUUAAAAUCCAACGACCAUAACGCUGCAGGGGAAUGAACGAUGGAUGUUAUUCUUGUGUCCCUGGGUGUCUUAUUGUGUUUCAUGUAAACAACUGCUUUUUAUUUGCAUGUUUUGCCCCUCUUGGCAUUAACAGAAAUGUUACAUAAAAACAAAUUAGGUCAACGGUUCAUGUUUCAGGUAUCAGGGUUUGUUGAGAACAUACCGUGUUGUGCGGUAAUUCUUUCCUUGUCUGUCGAGUAAAAAUCAGCCCCCCUUUGAUGACUCGUGUUUCCUGGGGAGGCAAGGGAGGGGGGUAGAGGUGUGGUUAGCCCUGGCAGCGUUGAGGGGGAAGCUGACACCUUACUGGGCUGCUACUGGGCCUCACUAGGGAGGCACUCUGCAACCUGUUGGGCCCCAUACACGCACGCACACAAACACAUACUCAGACACAUCCCACAUAUUCAUUUGUCACCCGAAAAAACACCUACACAGACGUAGAUACGUAAACGCACAUACCACGUCUUCACAUAAACACACACGCACACAAACACACACAGACCUACACGUAUACACACACAGACACACACACAGUCUCAUUACAGCAGGGUCCCCUACCAUGGUCAGGCUUGAGGUAGCAUGUAAUCUGUAUGUUUUAUUGGCCACUGGUUGGACACAGCUAAUAACUUCCUGAGGGAGCCCCCAGCGAGCCCCCCUCCCCCCACUCCCCACCCCUCCCCCUGCCCUCUCUCCUCUGUGACUGACUAACCGGCUCUCAGGUUAUGGGCUCAGACAAUUUCAGCCCUCUCUUCUAAACGUUUUUUUAUGACAUCGCAUUGGCAUAAAUGUGCUGUGUCCCUGCCCUAGCUUGUUUCACUAUGUUGAACCGUGAGAGAAGGAUUACAGACUUACAUAGUGUGAUAUUCAUUUUAUAUUAGAUUCCAUAAAACAUUUUCUUGUAAGUACAGCUUUGGUUUGAUGGUAUUUGCGGUCUGGUUUGGGGGAAUCAUCUCUUUCUCCAAGAUUCUGCUUCCUUUUUGAUGUCUCGCCAACCGACAGUGCAUCAGCAACGACAGCAUUUAUGAAAAUAUCCAAGUGCCUUCAUUUAAACAUCCUUCAAAUAAAACAUGUGUCCAAGAUUGAAUCUGAAUGACUAAUUGAAUGACUGUAUCAUGAUGUUCUCCUGAAAUUCAAUUAGAAAUACUGAAUGCACAGUAGAGAUGGACCAGAGGGUUGAGCCAAUAUCUUGCUCCUCCUCCUCCUCCUCCUCCUGCACAUCCACCCUCCCCUCCCUCUCGUUUCCCCAUCCACUUGAAUCCCUUCUUCCAACACCUAAUGCUCCUGUUUGUUCCCCAACGCCUUCUUUAACUCCUUCAUUUCUUCAUCUCCCUUGUGCGCCUCUCUUCCUCCAUCUCUCCUUUCCUCCUUUCCUCCUUCCUCAGCAACCCUCUCCUCCUCCUUCCUCCUCCUCCUCCUCCUCCUCUGAGUGUGUGACUCAAUUUUUUUCCAUUGUGCCCAGCUGGGACGAGAGAUGGUCAACACUUUACCAAUUAUGAGCGUAAUUGGGACUAAUAGAUUUAUCACACAUUCCUUCCUUGCUGACAAGCAGAUGUCUGAGUAUUGACGUGCUGGUGCUGUCAAUACACCGCAUGCCAGUCACAUCUCAUCUGAUCCACAGGUAUGUCUGGAAAAAGAAAAAUAUGAUCCAACUCAAUUUACACUUAAUCCUGUUUGGUCCCCAAAAAAUGAAAUACAUACACUACACAUUUUGUAUGGUUAAAUUAUAUUAGUUUUUAUCAUUGCUCAUGAAGAUUUCUUUAGAAGAAGUUCAUUUGAUAUUCAAAAUACAUCUGCUGAUCAACUUCUGGAUCCAGUUUCCAAAUGACACUACCUGACUGACUUCAUCAUAAGGAAAAUUUCUUAUGAGGCAUGCUGUUCUCAUAAAGAAUGUUCUUUCAAUCUUUUCAUACAGAUGCAUGAUUAUUGAUUCACAUUGAAGCAUCUAAACCUGUGUGGGAGGCUGUGGAUGUGUACUGUAGGUGUUUAUGAGAGCGUGGGUUUUUCUGCUGGAUCGUCUGGUAUGUUUAUACUGUGAAAACAUCAAUAAAGGAAUCAA